AGAGUUUGAUCAUGGCUCAGAUUGAACGCUGGCGGCAUGCCUUACACAUGCAAGUCGAACGGCAGCACGGGAGCAAUCCUGGUGGCGAGUGGCGAACGGGUGAGUAAUAUAUCGGAACGUGCCCAGUAGUGGGGGAUAGCCCGGCGAAAGCCGGAUUAAUACCGCAUGAGACCUGAGGGUGAAAGCGGGGGAUCGCAAGACCUCGCGCUUUUGGAGCGGCCGAUAUCUGAUUAGCUAGUUGGUGAGGUAAAGGCUCACCAAGGCGACGAUCAGUAGCUGGUCUGAGAGGACGACCAGCCACACUGGGACUGAGACACGGCCCAGACUCCUACGGGAGGCAGCAGUGGGGAAUAUUGGACAAUGGGCGAAAGCCUGAUCCAGCAAUGCCGCGUGAGUGAUGAAGGCCUUAGGGUUGUAAAGCUCCUUUACCCGAGAUGAUAAUGACAGUAUCGGGAGAAUAAGCUCCGGCUAACUCCGUG
rnacentral:rRNA from 1 species